ACCAAAGACAGCAACGCAGUUGUAUGAAGGAGGCUUAAUUGGUCAUACGGAGUCAUACACCUAGCUCACUUGCCGGCGAUUCCUAUCGAUGUCUCUUUUCCAUUUACCUUACAGAUGAUUGUACUUGCCUCAAGGACAGCCCAGCCAUUUAUCGUAUGCGGAUUGUUUUAGAAUUGCUAAGUUUUAUCAACCUAUUUCAUGAGGACUGAAAAAUCCAA
rnacentral:lncRNA from 1 species